rnacentral:rRNA from 1 species
UACGUAGGUGGCAAGCGUUGUCCGGAAUUACUGGGCGUAAAGGGCGUGUAGGUGGCCUUUUAAGUCAGACGUGAAAUCCCUGGGCUUAACCCAGGAAUUGCGUUUGAAACUGGAGGGCUUGAGGAUCGGAGAGGGCAGUGGAAUUCCCAGUGUAGCGGUGAAAUGCGUAGAUAUUGGGAGGAACACCAGUGGCGAAGGCGACUGCCUGGACGACACCUGACGCUGAGGCGCGAAAGCUAGGGGAGCAAACAGG